AGACGGCCCUAUCCCUGUCUCCCUUGGCUGACUCUCUUUUCGGACUCAGCCCGCCUGCACCCAGGUGAAAUAAACAGCCUUGUUGCUCACACAAAGCCUGUUUGGUGGUCUCUUCACACAAACGCGCAUGAAAUUUGGUGCCAUGACUCGGAUCGGGGUACCUCCCUUGGGAGAUCAAUCCCCAGUCCUCCUGCUCUUUGCUCCGUGAGAAAGAUCUACCUAGGACCUCAGGUCCUCAGACUGACCAGCCCAAGGAACAUCUCACCAAUUUCAAAUCUGGACCCCACUGAAAAUCGGACUGUUCAACUCAUCUGGCAGCCACUCCCAGAGCCCCUGGAACUCUGGCCCAAGCCUCUCUGACUGACUCCUUCCCAGAUCUUCUCGGCUUAGCAGCUGAAGACUGACACUGCCCAAUCGCCUUGGAAGCCCCCUAGACCAUCACGGAUGCCGAGCUUCGAGUAACUCUCACAGUGGAGGGAACGCGCAUGAAAAAACCAAACAAACAAAAAAAUUUCUUUUGGUAGCAGAAUAAAAAAACAAAAAAAAGGACUUUUUCUUCUGGACUGAACUAUAUUUAAAUCUCAAAGGAUGGACAUCUCACAACCUUCCUACAGCAAGUACUGUGAGCCAUGUAAAGGUGUGCUGCUUUCCCUUUGCCUUCCGCCAUUAUUGAAAGUUUCCUGAGGCCUCCCCAGCCAUGCUACCUGUACGACCUGUGAAACCAUAAGCCAAUUAAGAGCACAGUCCAUCAAUCUUACAAGCAGUUCUAAUAGUUCCUGGAUUUGGAAUUUGAUGCAGAGCUUGAUGCAGGCUUUGUAUGAACAGAUGCUUAUAUAAAAGCUAAAAUAGGUGCAGAUGUCUUCUGUUAACCUCACAGGAUAUGACCAUCAAUUAACUUCAAUUUUGUCUUGUUUACUAUGCAAACGUUUGAAUUUCAUAUUUAUUUUGCUCAUAUCAAAACAUAAUUUUAUUGACCAAACUAAGGACAUUUUCCUACAAAAGUAUGUUAGCUCUAGCAUUCCUUUAUCAUUGGAAUCUAACCACACAUUGUUCAUUCAUUCAACAGACAUUUAAUGAGUGCCUAUUAUUUGUCAGCUAUUUUAUUAGAUACAAGUGAGAACACAGACAUGGUCUCUUCUAAGAGAAGGUAGAAUUCAUUUAGAACUGAAAAAUUAGCAAAUAAAAGACAUGAGCACAGAUUUGAAGACAGGUGAAUGGAUGUUCUCUCUUUAAUGGUUAGAAUAAGUCGGAAAGUAGAAAGAGAAGGGAACUUAACCUGCCUAUUUAAGUGAAAGAAUAUUUGGCCAAAUAUGCCUGAAUUUAGUUAUUGGUGGAUUAAUUCAAAUAUGUUAUAUGAUUUGUAAGUUUCCAGAAGGGCUCCACUCUAUAAGUAUCUAUGCUAUAUAAUGCUUACAUUUCAAUUUCAUAUACAUUUAUUGGGGUUAAAAUAAUUUUUUUGAAACUGCAAAUCCAUCUAGAGGAGCAAUAGAUUAAUAUUGAUAAUUAUUUGUCCCAUAAUGUAAUUGUGUUGGGAUUUUUCAAUUACAGUCAAUUGAAAUAAGACUGAUUUUUAAUGGAAAGAAACAGACUAUAACAUUGCUGGGGUAAUCUGACACAGUGAGUUAACCGAGAGCAGUAAAGGACAGAAAGAUAGACAACAUGGGGAGCUACAGUUCCAUAGAGAAACUCUUCCUGCUUUUAUAGUAACACUCUCACUAGUCAAGGCUAUACUAACAAUGUUGUGAAUUGAAUUUAUUGUUAGAUUUUAUUCAAGAAUAACACAGACAUUGAUUUUAGAUCAUUGCUUCUCUAAGAAAUAUAAUGCUAGCAAAGAACCUAUGUAGAUAUGAGAGACAGAACAGAAACAUUUCUAUGAGCUGAUUAGCAAUAUUAUUCUCAUUGCCCAACAAAGAAUAGUGUAUAGUAGAUAUGUGACUAAGACAGGGCAGUAAGUAAAUAAAAGAGAAGAAGAAACCUAUUUUUCUGAGUAGUUUUCUUUAGUAAUAGACUUUCUCUUCUUUCAGUUAGUUUCCUCUUUCCUUUUCCUUGUCUUUCUUCCUCCUUUUCUUCUGUACCAUUUCUUUUAUCUUUUUUGUUGUCAUCAUUGUCUCCUCUACCUCCUCCUCCUUAUCCCCCAUCUUCCUCAUCUUUUUCAUUGUCAUUAACUAUGAGAUGAUAGUCUAGGGACUCUUCAGAUGCAUAGUUCCUUUCAAAAAUCACUGAAUAAUUGAUUAAAGAUAUGUAUUUAACAUAGAAAUAAAGUUUCAAAAACAAAUACAGUAUGGCAUAGUUCACUGGUGUAUGGAAUUCUUUUUUUUUAGUGGAUUUAUUUUUUAGAGGAGUUU
rnacentral:lncRNA from 1 species